GAUGAACGCUAGCGGUAGGCUUAAUACAUGCAAGUCGAACGGUAACAGGUGUAGCAAUACAUGCUGACGAGUGGCAGACGGGUGAGGAACUCGUACGCAAUCUUCCUCUUUCUGGUGAAUAGCCCUGAGAAAUUAGGAUUAAUACACCAUAGUAUUACGAAGUGGCAUCAUUUUGUAAUUAAAACUCCGGUGGAAAGAGAUGAGCGUGCGCCUGAUUAGAAGUUGGUGAGGUAACGGCUCACCAAGUCAACGAUCAGUAACUGGUGUGAGAGCACGACCAGUCACACGGGCACUGAGAUACGGGCCC
rnacentral:rRNA from 1 species